rnacentral:misc_RNA from 1 species
CAACCCUUAAGCCCCUGUUGCUUAGCGUUGGGAAUCUAGGUCUCCAGGGCCUAGUUCCCCAAAGUCAUCGGCGGAGUCGGAGCGUACUCUCAGCGUAGUAAUACCAUUCUCGCUUUUGCAGUAGCCCCGGCGGCUUGCCGUAAAACCCCU